rnacentral:rRNA from 1 species
GAUGAACGCUGGCGGCAGGCCUAACACAUGCAAGUCGAACGGAUCCUUCGGGAUUAGUGGCGGACGGGUGAGUAACACGUGGGAACGUGCCCUUUGGUUCGGAACAACUCAGGGAAACUUGAGCUAAUACCGGAUGUGCCCUUCGGGGGAAAGAUUUAUCGCCAUUGGAGCGGCCCGCGUCUGAUUAGCUAGUUGGUGAGGUAAAGGCUCACCAAGGCGACGAUCAGUAGCUGUUCUGAGAGGAUGAUCAGCCACAUUGGGACUGAGACACGGCCCAAACUCCUACGGGGGGCAGCAGUGGGGAAUCUUGCGCAAUGGGCGAAAGCCUGACGCAGCCAUGCCGCGUGAAUGAUGAAGGUCUUAGGAUUGUAAAAUUCUUUCACCGGGGACGAUAAUGACGGUACCCGGAGAAGAAGCCCCGGCUAACUUCGUGCCAGCAGCCGCGGUAACAC